rnacentral:rRNA from 1 species
GACGAACCGUGCGAACGUUGUUCGGAAUCACUUGGGCUUAAAGGGCGCGUAGGCGGCUUAUCAAGUCAGGCGUGAAAUUCCCGGGCUCAACCUGGGGCUGCGCUUGAUAACUGAUGAGCUGAAUGCGGGAGAGGGAUGCAGAUUCCAGGUGUAGCGGUGAAAUGCGUAGAUAUCGGAGGAAUACCGGUGGCCGAAGGGCGGCAAGUCCGUCGGACCGGCAUUGGACGCUGA